rnacentral:rRNA from 1 species
GACGAACGCUGGCGGCGUGCUUAACACAUGCAAGUCGAACGGAAAGGCCCUGCUUUUGUGGGGGGCGCGAGUGGCGAACGGGUGAGUAACACGUGAGUAACCUGCCCGUGACUUUGGGAUAACUUCAGGAAACUGGGGCUAAUACCGGAUAGGAGCUCCGGCGGCAUGGUGGGGGUUGGAAAGUUUAGGCGGUUGGGGAUGGACUCGCGGGUUAUCAGCUUGUGGGGGGGGUAGUGGCUUACCAAGGCUGUGAAGGGUAGCCGGCAUGAGAGGGUGACCGGGCCCAUGGGGCCUGAGAGACGGAGCAGAGUGCUACGGGAGGCAGCAGUGGAGAAUAUUGCACAAUGGGCGGAAGCGUGAUGAAGCAGCGCCGCGUGCGGGAAGACGGCCUGCGGGGUGUAAACCGCUUUCGCCUGUGACGAAGCGUGAGUGACGGUAAUGGGUAAAGAAGCACCGGCUAACUACGUG